CUCUGUUCGUCUCUGUCUUUCUCUCUGUGUCUCUUUCUCUGUCUGUCUGUCUCUUUCUUUCUCUCUGUCUCUGUCUCUCUGUUUCUGUCUUUCUCUCUCUCUCUGCCUGUCUCACUGUGUCUGUCUUCUGUCUUACUCUCUUUCUCUGCCCAUCUGUCUGUCUCUCUCUGUCUGUUUCUCUCUGUCUCUCUCUGUCCAUCUCUGUUUUUCUCUGUCUGUGUCUUUCUCUGUCUGCCUCUCUCUUUCUUUUUCUGUGUCUCUCUGUCUGUCUCUCUCUCUCUCUCUGUGCCUAUCUUCUGUCUUACUCUCUUUCUCUGCCUGUCUGUCUGUCUCUCUUUCUCUGUCUGUCUCCCUCCCUCCCUCUCUGUUUCUCUCUGUCUGUCUCUCUCUCUUUCUGUUUCUGUCUGUCUCUCUUUGUCCAUCUCUGUCUUUCUCUCUCUGUCUCUUUCUCUGUCCCUCCCUUUCUUUCUCUGUCUGUCUCUCUGUCUCUGUCUCUCUCACUGUGUCUGUCUUCUGUCUUACUCUCUUUCUCUGCCUAUCUGUCAGUCUCUCUCUCUCUGUCUGUCUGUCCCCCUCCCUUUCUGUUUCUCUCUCUGUCUCUCUUUCUCUUUGUCUCUCUCUGUCCGUCUCUUUCUCUCUCUUUGUCUUUCUCUCUGUCUCUGUCUCUCUCUCUCUGCCUGUCUCUCUCACUGUGUCUCUCUUCUGUGUUACUCUCUUUCUUUGUUUAUCUGUCUCUCUCUCCCUCCCUGCCUUUCUGUUUCUCUCUCUCUGUCUCUCUCAAUUUCUGUCUGUUUCUCUCUGUCUCUCUCUAUCUCUGUUUCUCUCUGUCUCUCUCUGUCUGUCUCUGUCUUCCUCUGUCUGUCUGUCUCUCUCUUUCUUUUUCU
rnacentral:lncRNA from 10 species